ensembl:lncRNA
GUUUGUUCGUUGUUAGGUAUACAAAUGUAUUGUUUUUGUGUUGUUGUAACCAUGGCCUCCAGCCGAUGCACCCUCCCUCCUCUCUCCUGAACUGGACUAAACCGAUAUAAACACCUGGAGCCGUUUACCAACACACAUGGUCUGCGUCGGUACAGGUACUUGCACGUUUGGAGUUCAGGACGUGUGGGGUCAGAUGUGUGGACAGGGAGACUUAAUCCAGGUGUAUUGGUAGACCGGUACACAUGUAUCCAGGUGUGUCUGUAAUCCAGGUGUAUUGAUACUACAUAUCUGUAAUCCAGGUGUAUUGAUACUGCAUAUCUGUAAUCCAGGUGUAUUGAUACUACAUAUCUGUAAUCCAGGUGUAUUGGUACUGCAUAUCUGUAAUCCAGGUGUAUGGCCUGCAAUCCAGGUGUAUUGGUACUGAAUAUCUGUAAUCCACGUGUAAUGGUAGGCCCUCAGACAUACAUAAUUCAGUUGUGUUGCUAGGUACAGGCCUGUACUUAAGGUGUGUUGGUAGACGAUAUAUAGUUCCUGUAUACCUGUAAUCGAGGUGACGAUACAUAUAUAGUCUCUAGCUGUGAUAGGGGAGUGUAUUGAGACGGCUACAAACCUAUACAACACAGGUGUGUUGGUGGACAGGUAGUCAUCCUGUACAUCGUUUCUUCGCGUCACUGAUCAGCUGGAAAGUCUUGGCUCGAGGCGUGAGGCCGUCGAGGGAUAUGAGCCGCGUGAAGAACCGCGAGCCACGGGGGAACCGAGGGGUGUAACCGGACCGGCAUGAAGAGAGAGGAGAAACUAACAGAGGAGAGUAGAAGAGGAGAGGCGAUGAGAGGAGAGGAGAAGAUAGGAGGAGAGAGGAGUUUAAGUGUGCUUUAUGUCAAUCUGUCUCGUGCUCCGCGGGUUAAGUGAUUUAACUGUCCGCGCGCUUCUUCUUCCUCCUCCGCCACGUCCGUUCAGCAAGCGCUCUAAUUGAAUAAAGUUGGGUGAUAUGUUGAAGAUGGGAUAUGAUCCGGUUUUAAAUGAUGAAACCGGGACGGCUGCCGGUGAAGCGAUCCCGGGGUCGGCGACAUCACGGACGGAACGGUGGAUUUGGCUUCCCUUUAUUUUUUACCUUCCUCCUCAAUUUCCUUAUUUUAUUUACUUACUCUUAUAUAUUUUGUCCUUCAAUUUUACGAUUUUUUGUCUUCGGUCCAUUCUUUUCCCAUUAUUUUUGCUUUUUAUAUAUAUUUUUGUGUUUUACAACAGGCAGCUGGCCCCUUCGCGCACGGGGAUAUUCUAUUAGCGGGAAAAUUAAUGCAAAUCUUCGCGAGGAGCCGUCUGAAAAGGCGACGGCGCGCGCACCCUCCUUCCACCUUCCUCCGCGAGGCUGCAGUCAGGGAGGACGCCGGCACGAGCCCAAGUGAGGAAGAGUUCUGCUCGAGCCUUUGAAGCUCCGCGCGCCGCACGCACCUCCUGAUUAACG